CCGUUUGUCCUGUGGGUUCCAGGGAUUGAGCUCAGGUUGUCAGGUUUUGAGCUCCCCAAAAACCUUCAACCUAAAGCACAUAUCAAGAUGGCGUCCAGGUCAGGAGCGUGUCUUCAAAUGAGGACCUAAUGGAUGUUAUGUAGUCCUUUGCUUUGAGAAUUUGGAGUUAUAGACCCUCAGAUUAUGGAUGCAAACAAGGGACUCCAUAUGUAUCUUCAGUUAUAAUUUUUUUUUACACAAGUUGCUUAAUAACAAGGCAAUGACGAUGUACACUUGUAGUUCCUUGGAAGCUGAUGUAAAUAACUCUCUCCAGUAUGAGGGUUUGUGUCCAACUGAUCAGCAAAGCAAGACCGUCUCAGAAGAAAAAGUGCCACACAAACCUGAAUGCGGGUUGCAUCCCUGAAAUAGCGACACUCACGAGGCCGAGGCACGAUGAUUGUGAGUUGGAGGCCAGCCUGGGCUACACAGAUCUGGUUUCAACAACAAUAACAACAACAACAAUGACAACAGAAGAAAAAUUCACUCUGAAAAAAAAGUCUAAAAACUAAAACAACCAAAAUCUCUACAAUAAUAUCAACAAAUCCAAAUAAAGCAGGGCAGCAAAAAUAGCUGAGAAGAAAGCACCUCUUGAGACCAUAACAAUCACUAGUAACAUUUUAUAAUGAUGUCUCUCCCUGCAUGUUCAUGAAUACACCGUAUGCUCCUUCUACCUGUAUUAUUCAGACUCCUUUUUGUUUUGUUUUGUUUUGUUUUUUGUUUUGUGAGCCAAUUGUAAAAUUUGUUCGUAGGUUGCUCCUACGAAAUCAUUAUUUCUCCAGAGAUGACAGGGUGGAACGUCUUCAUUUUUCCCAUUCCUUGGUCGUUUUCAUUUUUUGUUAUUGUAAAUAAUGGUGGUGGUCACUGUAUCACACAUAUGUUUUCUUUGUGUCUUGAUGCUUAUGGACAAGUAUGAAAAGAAGUGAUUACUAAUGCCUGUUAUUUACUGAGGACAACAUAUGUAAAAAGAGAAGGUGAACAAAUAGGAAGAUGGUAGAAUAUCCCACCGCUGUGUCCCAUCUGCUGUUUUUCAUUGUACCAUAAGCUCCACGCUACAGAGCCCAUUUGUGGAGACUACACUAGCGUUCUUUUGCAGAUCAAUAUUUUAAGUAGCUCAACUCUCUUAAUUACUUAAAAUAUUGUUAGCUGUUUUAUACUCCUGUGGAUCUUUUAUUCAUUGCUCCAAUUUUGUGUAGACUUUCAAACCUUUUGAACUGUGGGGACAGUUCAAUGCCUGCACUGUCCCUCCUUGUCACCAUUAGUGCUUCCUGGCUUUGAAUUAGUGAACACUUAUUGGUUUUCAUUCCAGAGUUUGUUGAUGCAAAGUUUAAAAGCUUUAAAAAAAUCCCAUUUAAGCCAGGCAAUGGUGGCACAAGCCUUUAAUCCUAGUAUUUGGGAGAAAGAAGCAGGCAGAGUUUUGAGUUCAAGGCCAGCCUGGUCUAUAAUAUAAGUUUCAGGACAGCUAGGGCUAUUAAACUGAAAAACCUUGUCUUGGGUGGGGAAUCCAUUUUAAUACCUUUGUGCAUAUUUCUGAUUUUUAAAAAUUACUUAUAUUUAUUUUGUGUAUGUGUUGG
rnacentral:lncRNA from 1 species